rnacentral:lncRNA from 10 species
AUUACUAGUAGAAAUUCACCCAUGAGUGAAGAGAUGUUUUGCUGACAGCGUCUGGCUCGAACAUCAAUAGCUAAGGCCGCCACAUCCAUAAGUAGAUUAAACCUGACCUCUCAAGGUCCUCUGCCCUUGGUCUUUUGGCUAUAUUAAUCAAAAUAGAGCAAAAAGUAAUUCCCAGCAUAUUAGUCAAUUCUCGCACUGCCAUAAAGAAAUAUCUGAGACUGGGUAGCUUAUAAAGAAAAGAGGUUUAAUUGGCUCACAUUUCUUCUUCUUCUUUUUUUUUUUUUUUUUUUUGAGACAGAGCCUCCCUCUGUUGCCCAGGAUGGACUGCAGUGGCGCAAUCUCGGCUCACUGCAACCUCCACCUCCUGGGUUCAAAUGAUUCUCCUGCCUCAGCCUCUUGAGUAGCUGGGAUUACAGGCAUGCGCCACCAUGCCUGGCUAGUUUUUUUUUGUUUCGUUUUUUUGUUUUUGUUUGUUUUUCUUUUUUUAGUAGAAACAGGGUUUCACCUUAUUGGCCAGGCUGGUCUCGAACUCCUGACCUCGUGAUCUCUCCACCUCAGCCUCCCAAAGUGCUGGGAUUACAGGCAUGGGCCACCACACCUGGCCUAAUUGGCUCACGUUUCUGCAGGCUGUGCAGGAAGCACAGUGGGCAUCUGCCUGGCUUCUGGGGAGGCCUCAGGAAAACUCAAUCAUGGCGGAAGGUGAAAGAGAAGCAUGGCCAGAGCAGGAGGGAGGGGUGUGGGAGGUACCACACACUUUUAAACAACCAGAUCUUGUGAGAAUUCUAUCACUAGAAGAGCACUAAAUGGGGGAAUCCACCCCCAUGAGCCAAUCACCUCCCACCAGGCCCCAACUCCAACACUGGGGAUUACAAUUUGACAUGAGAUUUGGGCAGGGACACAGACCCAAACCGUAUCACCCAGGAUUAAAGAAAGUUAUUUCAUACUGACAACACACACCUCAUAACAAAGCUUCAAAACACAUAAAGCAAGAACAACUAGAACUUCAAGGAGACAUAGAUCAACCCACUAUUAUCAGACGUUAAUACCCCACCCUCAAUAAUUGACAGAACAAGUAGGCAGAAAAUCAAUAAGAAUAAUAAAGUAGACUUCAGCAAUUUUAUCAAUCAACUUGACCCGAUUGACAUUUACAGGACAUUGCAUCUUACAAUAGCAGAAAAUUUUUCUUGAGAAAAUGGAGAAACAACUCAAUUUUGUUUCUUGAGAAAUAACUUGAGAAAAAUUUUUAGCUGUUCAAACAAAAAUCAUAGUACGGGAUUUAUAAU